UACGUAGGGGGCAAGCGUUGUCCGGAUUUAUUGGGCGUAAAGAGCGUGUAGGCGGCCAGGUAGGUCCGUUGUGAAAACUCGAGGCUCAACCUCGAGACGUCGGCGGAAACCCUCUGGCUAGAGUCCGGAAGAGGAGAGUGGAAUUCCUGGUGUAGCGGUGAAAUGCGCAGAUAUCUGGAGGAACACCGGUGGCGAAGGCGGCAUUCUGGACUGCAACUGACACUGAACGACGAAAGCCAGGGGAGCAAACGGG
rnacentral:rRNA from 1 species